GCAAAACGCGAAGAACCUUACCUGGUCUUGACAUCCACAGAAGUUUUCAGAGAUGAGAAUGUGCCUUCGGGAACUGUGAGACAGGUGCUGCAUGGCUGUCGUCAGCUCGUGUUGUGAAAUGUUGGGUUAAGUCCCGCAACGAGCGCAACCCUUAUCCUUUGUUGCCAGCGGUCCGGCCGGGAACUCAAAGGAGACUGCCAGUGAUAAACUGGAGGAAGGUGGGGAUGACGUCAAGUCAUCAUGGCCCUUACGACCAGGGCUACACACGUGCUACAAUGGCAUAUACAAAGAGAAGCGACCUCGCGAGAGCAAGCGGACCUCAUAAAGUAUGUCGUAGUCCGGAUUGGAGUCUGCAACUCGACUCCAUGAAGUCGGAAUCGCUAGUAAUCGUGGAUCAGAAUGCCACGGUGAAUACGUUCCCGGGUCUUGUACACACCG
rnacentral:rRNA from 1 species